rnacentral:lncRNA from 1 species
AGGUUGAUUUAAAUCACCCUCAGCACCACCUAAGCACCUAUAAUACUAUAGGUGCUUAGGUGGGCAGACUUCCAUGUCUACCACUAAAAACUGGACACCAGAAGGUCCAAGGGCACUUUCAGAAUCCCAGUUCUUAUCACCAAGCCCAACCAAUUCAUGCCCCUUUGCAGGGACAAUCACCGAAGUUAUCGGUCAUCCAGACUUGGAAUUAGGAUCCGAAAGUACUUCGAAAGUCCAUUUGUUGACCCCAGAGAGAGCCUUAAAAUUGACUGCUUUGAUGGCCUUAUCUGAGUGACCAUUAGUAUGAUGCACUGUCCCUUC